GUGCUUGCUUCAGCAGCACAUACACUAAAAUUAGGAUGAUAUAGAGAAGAUUAGCAUGGCCCCUGAACAAGAAUGACACACUUUGUAAAGUGUUCCACAUUUUU
ensembl:snRNA U6 U6 spliceosomal RNA